rnacentral:misc_RNA from 1 species
AGUGGUGAAGGCGAGACAAGAAGAUGCCACUUUUGAUGGCGAAGACGAAGAAGGCAACUUAAGACAAAGAUUUGACAAGCAGUGGCGAGCGACACGCAAGUAGUGGGGAAGAUGGCAACGACAAGACAAGAUCUGGCAAGGCAGGGAGAUGUUGAGAUGGAAAGAAGAUUUGGCAAGGGAGAUGACGAGAUGGUGAGAUGAAGAUUUGGCAAGAGAUAGGAGACGAUUCGAUGAAGAAGAGGAAUGAUAUGAGCUGGGGCAGAACUGUUUUAGACUUUGUUUAUGUUAUAAGUCUCUAGGGCUCUGGGUUGAGGGCAUACGGUCUUCCUUGAGAGAAUAAAUGAUAUUGGGCUGAGGGAAUAUGGGCUUCCUGUAGAGAAUAAGUGAUAUCAGUUCGGUUUGGUUUUUAGUCAAUUUUUCAUUAAAAUAACCGUAUUGAACCAUAAAACCGAAGUUUAUAGAAAAUACAAACCAAAUUGAACUGUAUAAACUGAAAAAUUAAACUA